rnacentral:pre_miRNA from 1 species
AUUAUACUCCCUCCGUUCCAAAUUACUCGUCGUAGAAAUGGAUGUAUCUAGAACUAAAAUACAUCUAGAUACAUCCAUACUUGCGACAAGUAAUUUGGAACGGAGGGAGUAUAUU